UUAUUCCAAAGAUUCACUUCUCAAUAUUAAAAAAUUAUCCAUUACUCUUCAACAAUAAAGAAACAAAGAGGUAGCACCAUGCUUAGCCUGACUCAUGACUAUCACAGUCUGGGACUUAUAAUAUCUUCUUCAACUUACUUAUGCUUUACUUCUAAAAUUCCAGAUUUUAAUUGUCAUUCCCUACUUAACCAUUUUUCACAUCUAAUUCAAUCACAUGUCCUUUUAAAUUCACUAU
rnacentral:lncRNA from 1 species